rnacentral:rRNA from 1 species
UACGUAGGGUGCAGGCGUUAAUCGGAAUUACUGGGCGUAAAGCGUGCGCAGGCGGUUUGCUAAGACAGGUGUGAAAUCCCCCGGGCUUAACCUGGGAACUGCGCUUGUAACUGGCAAGCUAGAGUGUGGCAGAGGGGGGUGGAAUUCCACGUGUAGCAGUGAAAUGCGUAGAGAUGUGGAGGAAUACCGAUGGCGAAGGCAGCCCCCUGGGUCCAAGGAUUGACGCUCAUGCACGAAAGCGUGGGGAGCAAACAGG